rnacentral:lncRNA from 1 species
CUUCAUUUGAUGCAUCUUUCCCUAGAAAAUCAAUGUCUACUUGAUCUAAAUAGGGAAAGUGAUUGGGCGGCAAAACGCUCUUCCCAUCAGGUUCUUUUCUAUAGAAUUUUUGAAAAAAAUUUGUUGCUUCUGCUUGGACUUCAUUGGGUUCAAAAAGCCAUUCCCCGUUUACUUUGCGUAGGGCAUCAAUACGAUUAAUCUUCCAUCUGUUGAGUGUUCGACCAUGAAAGAAUUUUGUAUUUCUG